rnacentral:rRNA from 1 species
UGGCAUUACGGGGGUCUAUCUGCAGUCGAGCGACAGGAUAAGGAGCUUGCUCCUUUGAAGUUAGCGGCGGACGGGUGAGUAACACGUGGGUAACCUACCUAUAAGACUGGAAUAACUUCGGGAAACCGGAGCUAAUGCCGGAUAACAUAUAGAACCGCAUGGUUCUAUAGUGAAAGAUGGUUUUGCUAUCACUUAUAGAUGGACCCGCGCCGUAUUAGCUAGUUGGUAAGGUAAUGGCUUACCAAGGCGACGAUACGUAGCCGACCUGAGAGGGUGAUCGGCCACACUGGAACUGAGACACGGUCCAGACUCCUACGGGAGGCAGCAGUAGGGAAUCUUCCGCAAUGGGCGAAAGCCUGACGGAGCAACGCCGCGUGAGUGAUGAAGGUUUUCGGAUCGUAAAACUCUGUUAUUAGGGAAGAACAAAUGCGUAAGUAACUGUGCGCAUCUUGACGGUACCUAAUCAGAAAGCCACGGCUAACUACGUGCCAGCAGCCGCGGUAAUACGUAGGUGGCAAGCGUUAUCCGGAAUUAUUGGGCGUAAAGCGCGCGUAGGCGGUUUCUUAAGUCUGAUGUGAAAGCCCACGGCUCAACCGUGGAGGGUCAUUGGAAACUGGGAAACUUGAGUGCAGAAGAGGAAAGUGGAAUUCCAUGUGUAGCGGUGAAAUGCGCAGAGAUAUGGAGGAACACCAGUGGCGAAGGCGACUUUCUGGUCUGUAACUGACGCUGAUGUGCGAAAGCGUGGGGAUCAAACAGGAUUAGAUACCCUGGUAGUCCACGCCGUAAACGAUGAGUGCUAAGUGUUAGGGGGUUUCCGCCCCUUAGUGCUGCAGCUAACGCAUUAAGCACUCCGCCUGGGGAGUACGACCGCAAGGUUGAAACUCAAAGGAAUUGACGGGGGACCCGGCACAAGCGGUGGAGCAUGUGGGUUUAAUUCGAAGCAACGCGAAAAAACCUUACCAAAUCUUGACAUCCUUUUGAAAACUCUAGAGAUAGAGCCUUCCCCUUCGGGGGACAAAAGUGACAGGGUGGGUGCAUGGGUUGUCGUCAGCUCGUGUCGUUGAGAUGUUUGGGUUAAGUCCCGCAACGAACGGCGAAGCCCUUAAGGCUUUAGUUGGCCAUCAAUGAGGCUUGGGGCACUCUAAGGGUUGGAACUGGGCGGGUGGACAAGCCGGAGGAAGGGUGGGAUGAACGUCGAAUUCAUGCAUGGCGCCCGUUAUUGAAUUUUGGGGGCCUUACACCGACACGCGUGUUGGCCUAUUGUC